UGCAAUAGAGGGGCAAUAGAACCUGAUAUGCAAUACAUGUAUGUUAACCAAUGUGUCCCAUGACAGAAAAAAUACAAAUUCCUUUUACCUACAAGGUUUAUAUUUUCUCUCCAUAAGACUUGUUACAAAAUGCCACAAAUCCCAUUUGAUACAUCACUUUCAUUUAUAAUGCUAUGUAGAAGACAGCUUUUGGUUUGUUGGAUUAAAUUGUGGAAAGAAAUGGCCAU
rnacentral:lncRNA from 1 species